AAGGCAAUUCACCUGUGCUGCCAGAAGGGUGGAGCCAGAAUCCACCCCUCCUAGACCUAUUUAAGAGCUGGCUACCAGUGGGGAAGGAUCUGUUCUGGAGAUUGCCUUUGCUGGUGUUUUGUGUACGAGCCCAGGAUAUGGUGUAAAUGCAGAGCUAUGUGGGUAUGGAAGCAGGGAACACCUUGCUGCUCUCCCUCUUGGUUUGGAAAACAACAGGAGUGAUCACGGCAACACAGCAGAGCAGGAGUAAACAAGAUCUUACAUGAAGAUCUCUCAAUCAGACUACGUUUCUCAUGAGACAUCAUACAGCACUCCAGCCAAGGAUGGAGUCCACACUUAAUCCUUGCAGUAUGGCAGGACAGUGCAGCACCAUCUCAUAAUGGAUAGGUCUAGUUUAAAACUGCAAUUUUAAGUACUUUUUAAAAUUUGUUUUGGGAAAAGGAUCAUGUGUGUGUAUAUGAAUGCCAGGUCUACUGGCUAUUGAAAACUGUACUCUUUACUCAGGAUGCAUAGAUUUGAUUAUACAAUCCUGCUGGAACAGUUUUUGAAUCAAUAUCAGUAUUAUUCACUUAAUGAAUGUUAAAAAAGAAAGGAAGAAAGAGAACUGAUGUUUCUAAACAGCUCUAUUAUCAGCUACUAAGAGGAACAACCACCUUUUUAUUUAAAAGAAUGGUUGUUUGGGGAUAUGAUUAUUUGUAGAGCACUGGGAUAUAGGAGGGAGAAUUUAGUUAAACUGAGUGCAUAAAAUCAUGGUGUGUUCCUUGAUAUCACCUCACAGACUGGUUUAUUUCCAGUGUCAACUUCACUGUUUUGUAAUCUGUAUGCAUAGUGAAUAAACUCUACACCUAAGGACUUCGACUUGAUGAUCCUUA